CAGGGCGGCAUCUGCUGAUUUCUCCUGUCUAACAUCGUGUCCCUGCACCCGUCCCCCCUCAUACAUAGAAUGAAAUGGAAACAGUCGGCACUCCUCUUCCGGAAUUGUGGUGCUCGCGCCCAGGUUACAGAAAAAAUGACGAGAUUUGAUGUCCCUAAGUUAUGUGUAGCCUGUAUGAGAUUUAUAUCUCAGGCCCAAUCUAUCUAAAGCUACAAGAUUUAAUGAAAUGUUUAUCAGCAUUGUAACUUUGUUGCAACAAUGUUUGUAAUUGUUGCGCUUGAUGUUUUGUGUAUUUCUGUUUCUAUGGUGAUGCGACCUCAUUAUGUUCGAUGCCGGUAUGGGCGCACUAUUUAAAUGUGUUUCAUGCAGCAAUUUAACAUGCUUGAAAAAGGCUCGCAUUCGAGCCGAAACACGUGUCGCAUCCGCGCUGUGUCUCCUCCAUGC